GGCGUAAGGACGAAUACGCUCCAGGAGGUGUCCUCGCGCAUUCCGGGGGGGAGUGUUGACUACGCCCCGUCGACAUCUAACGCAGUGCAGACUCUACCUGAAACAAUGCACGCCACACCCAGCGCUGGACAAGGGAUUGAGUAGGCAUCUAAAGUAAACAACAACAUACGUAUUGGAUUGUCCUAGAGCUUGAAUUCGCUGCAUUUGAGGCAAUUAUCCUAAUUAAGUUUCCAAAAAAAUACGUUUUCCUCUUUCAUCAUAUCUAUUAAAUAUUCCUCCUAAAUUCACGUAGUAAGGUGAGAGAAGAUUGAAUUACAUAUAUGUACGUAGAAGUAAUAUCAUGUAUAAAUUGUUGCAUAGGUUAGUUGUUCGUGGCUCACUCAGGGUUGCUCUAUCUACGAGACAGUCAGUAAGCUAAAACUACAUAAAUAGCGAGUAGUAAGGGGGUGCUCAAACGAAAACGAAUCGAAGCUAGUUGCGCGAGAAGAGAACUACCGAAUUGAUCACUAACAGAAUUUUGUAAUUUACUGAAAUAAAUUUACGGAAUUACGAUCACAGUUCUUCGACUGCGCAACAGGCCUAUAGUAUACUUCGCCUUAAAUGGGCUGAGUUGGGGUCAAUUAAGUGGGUAUCACCUAUCAUGAAACAAUCCUUAAAU